CAGCCGCCGCGGUAAUGCGAAGGGGGCUAGCGUUGCUCGGAAUGACUGGGCGUAAAGGGCGCGUAGGCGGAUGGCACAGUCAGAUGUGAAAUUCCCGGGCUUAACCUGGGGGCUGCAUUUGAUACGUGUUGUCUAGAGUGAGGAAGAGGGUUAUGGAAUUCCCAGUGUAGAGGUGAAAUUCGUAGAUAUUGGGAAGAACACCGGUGGCGAAGGCGGCGACCUGGUCCUUGACUGACGCUGAGGCGCGAAAGCGUGGGGAGCAAACAGGAUUAGAUACCCCUGUAGUCCCUGUCUCUUAUAC
rnacentral:rRNA from 1 species